UUUUUUUUUUUUUUUUUUUUUUUAAGACGGAGUUUCACUCUGUUGCCCAGGCUGGAGUGCAAUGGCGCGAUCUUGGCUCACCGCAACCUCCACCUCCUGAGUUCAAGCGAUUCUCCUGCCUCAGCCUUCUGAGUAGCUGGAAUUAGUCAUGCGCCACCAUGCCCAGCUAAUUUUGUAAUUUUAGUAGAGACGGAGUUUCUCCAUGUUUGUCAGGCUGGUUUCAAACUCCCAACCUCAGGUGAUCAGCCCACCUCGGCCUCCCAAAGUGCUGGGAUUACAGGCGUGAGGCACCACACCUGGCCUACUCAUCCUUUCAGAUGCAAUUCAUAGAGCAUUUUCUCUGGUCUCCAUCUGCCCCAUGAGUACUGUAUCUGUAACACUCUAUAUUGCAUAUAGGUCCGUUUGAAUUGUCACCCCUGAAUUCCCAGGGACUAGCACAGUGCCUGGCAUUUAAAAACUCAAUUCCUAUUAUCGUUUGUAUAGGAAUUGCACUUUGUCAUACGCUAAAAAAAAUUAUGCAUGCCAUUAUAGAAAACUCAAUAAUGUAUGCUUCAUAAUUUUGCAGGGUACAGGAUGGUCAAUGAUUUUAAAAACUAUCUCAAAUACUUUCACUUUUUUUGGUGGCACAAGAAACACUAGAAGCUAUUUUAUCGGUUUUACUGCUGUUAAUGGAAUUACAUACGUUAGCACAGUGCAAACCAGUUUUGCAAUUAAUAAAAAAUAUUUACUUAGCAACUGUUAAAAGCAGUUUCUAAAAAUAUCCACCUCCACCCUUUCUUCUGAUCCUAAAUAUCUAAUGUAGCACUUUCUCACCAAGAUUUGUGCCGCUGUUCAUUGGCAUACAGAACCAAUAGCAGGCUGCCUGAAAUCCACAGGAAUUGUUUCCAACAGUUAUUCAAACUAUUUUGCUUCUCUGAAUUAGCAGCAUUGAAGACUUAAUAUGGUAAUGACGAGAAAAGGCUACAUUUUUUUUUACCUAAGACAUUCUGUUCCAUAAAUGACAGGCUAUAAAAGUACUACAGAACUAUGAGAAAGAACACCCUGUCAGUGAAUACACUGGUGUAUUAAAACAAUCUAUAUAAACUUAGGUGCAUGGAAGUGCUCUAAAAGUGUAAAAGUAUUCACAACUUCAAGCAAAAAUAACUUGGUCAAGUUUGGUUUUAUGUAGUAGACUGCAAAUCUAAUUAAUGUAUUCCACUCUUGUAGAUAUAAUGUAUCUUAAGUCCAGAUACAGUUUUAGUCAAGUUUUAAGGUGAUUUUUAGAAAAAAAAAAUCAACUUUUAAUAAGACUAUGAAGCAACAAGACUGGUUUUUUUUUUUUUUUUUUUUGCUAUCAACACAUAGAUGAAGUAUUGAUGAUAACUAGGUAAGGGUUGGCUAAUAAAUGCAUUAUAUUAAAAAACUGCUCUGGCUUACAUGUGC
rnacentral:lncRNA from 1 species